GCCACCAUAGCUCAGAGGUCAGAGCACUGGUCUCGUAAACCAGGGGUCGCGAGUUCGAAUCUCGCUGGUGGCG
rnacentral:tRNA from 1 species